rnacentral:misc_RNA from 1 species
AAAAACAGAAAAUUUUUAUUUUUUUCUCUUAAAAUCGAGAUAAAAAAAAUUAAUUCUAAAUUUUAACAAAUGAAAAAAAUAAAGAAUAAAUUUUGUUAAAUAAAUGUUAAUGUACAUUGUCUACUUACGUGGAAUUGAAUAAAAAAAUAUUAAAUUACAUAUGGAAAUAAAAUAUGUGUAGUUUUUAAUGUACUAUUGUUAUUGAUUAAAAAAAAAAACAUUGAAUU